rnacentral:rRNA from 1 species
CCUGAGAAACCUAAAAGUUCGAAUGAGGAGAUUCAUCGUCAGGCCAUGUGUUAUAUCUAGAAGUUUUGAUAUUGUAGUACCUACUAAUAAUACAAGCUUUUAGGUUUCAGUGACAUGUGGUCAGGCGUGCACUUCUCCUCUUGUAGGACGUUGCGACCCGUUAAAUGUCAAUUUGUGGCCCGUGUGUGGAGUCUUUAAUUNAUUUUGAAUUGAAGACCACCGGUGACCUAAUUGGCUGUUUGACGGUACUCAAAUGGUAUUGAGCCGCUUUUUUGAUAUGCGCCGAGCUUGGCACAAGCAUAAUUAGUUGUAAUAUCCCGGUAGUGCGGAUCUGAUGCCGUCGCUGGGGCUAAUUGGCUGUUGGUGUUCAAUGCUCUUUGGCUGGCUUAUAUACCGGUCUGCAACGCUACUGCUUUGGGUACUUUCAGN